CAGCCGCCACGGUAAUACGUAGGUGGCAAGCGUUGUCCGGAAUUAUUGGGCGUAAAGGGCUCGCAGGCGGUUUCUUAAGUCUGAUGUGAAAGCCCCCGGCUCAACCGGGGAGGGUCAUUGGAAACCGGGAAACUUGAGUGCAGAAGAGGAGAGUGGAAUUCCACGUGUAGCGGUGAAAUGCGUAGAGAUGUGGAGGAACACCAGUGGCGAAAGCGACUCUCUGGUCUGUAACUGACGCUGAGGAGCGAAAGCGUGGGGAGCGAACAGGAUUAGAGACCCCGGUAGUCCUGUCUCUUAUACA
rnacentral:rRNA from 1 species